rnacentral:rRNA from 1 species
AUGAACGCUGGCUGCGUGCCUAAUACAUGCAAGUCGAGCGAACAGAUGAGGAGCUUGCUCCUCUGACGUUAGCGGCGGACGGGUGAGUAACACGUGGAUAACCUACCUAUAAGACUGGGAUAACUUCGGGAAACCGGAGCUAAUACCGGAUAAUAUAUUGAACCGCAUGGUUCAAUAGUGAAAGACGGUUUUGCUGUCACUUAUAGAUGGAUCCGCGCCGCAUUAGCUAGUUGGUAAGGUAACGGCUUACCAAGGCAACGAUGCGUAGCCGACCUGAGAGGGUGAUCGGCCACACUGGAACUGAGACACGGUCCAGACUCCUACGGGAGGCAGCAGUAGGGAAUCUUCCGCAAUGGGCGAAAGCCUGACGGAGCAACGCCGCGUGAGUGAUGAAGGUCUUCGGAUCGUAAAACUCUGUUAUUAGGGAAGAACAAAUGUGUAAGUAACUAUGCACGUCUUGACGGUACCUAAUCAGAAAGCCACGGCUAACUACGUG